AUUUAGCCCAGAUAGAAGUGGCAUCCUUUUAAUUUUUUUCCUUUAAAAAAAUUAAAAGAUAGAACGGAUAGCUGGAUUAGCU
rnacentral:sRNA from 1 species